UACGUAGGGUGCGAGCGUUAAUCGGAAUUACUGGGCGUAAAGCGCGCGUAGGUGGUUUGUUAAGUUGGAUGUGAAAGCCCCGGGCUCAACCUGGGAACUGCAUUUGUGACUGCAUGGCUAGAGUACGGUAGAGGGGGAUGGAAUUCCGCGUGUAGCAGUGAAAUGCGUAGAUAUGCGGAGGAACACCGAUGGCGAAGGCAAUCCCCUGGACCUGUACUGACGCUCAUGCACGAAAGCGUGGGGAGCAAACAGG
rnacentral:rRNA from 1 species